UACGUAGGGGGCAAGCGUUGUCCGGAUUUAUUGGGCGUAAAGAGCGUGUAGGCGGUUCGGUAGGUCCGUUGUGAAAACUCGAGGCUCAACCUCGAGACGCCGAUGGAAACCCUCGAACUAGAGUCCGGUAGAGGAGAGUGGAAUCCCGGUGAGCAGUGAAAUGCGUAGGAGACUCGGGAGGAACAUCAGUUGCGAAGGCGGGU
rnacentral:rRNA from 1 species